CAAGUUUCUGCAUUUUAUUUGUAACACAAUUGGUAGGGUGCAAACACAAUGUUGAAACUUUACAUGCAUACAGGAGAAUUAGUGGCAAUAUAUCCAUGCUAUAACAAAGACUCGGUUGUUAAUUCACUGGAGACUGUAACUUGUGCCUUUGGGAUAUGCGCCUUUAGCCUAACGCAAGAAUUAAUAUCUCGUCUUCUGUUGUUCUGGACAUUUGCGUGCGCAAGAUCCACUAGCAAAUCCGUUGCACUACCCACAGCUUUUGGGAGCCUUGUUCCGUGUCGAUCUGCGCACCUUGCUGUGGGUCUUCGUUUCACAGACUGUGUCCUGGAUGGGUGGGAGGGGAGGAGGCGGUGCGGCAUUGGCCCUCAUGUGCUUCUCGCGAAGCUCGAAUGCCAGAUCCAUGAUGAAAUCUCUCGUUGACACUGUCUUAGCGGUGCAUUGCGUGAACAAAACAUAUGCGUUGAUUGCAGCCAGGUCAAGAAGGUUGAAGAAUACCGCAAGGGGCCAGCGGUGUGAACCUCCUUUCUCCAACCCUGUCACAACCGCCACCGUACGCUCUCUUGUCAUCGUAUUUACAUCAACCUAUGGGUAGAAUACAAUUGAUUAGCAUUACAUCCCCAAAUGAAAAACAACAACCCAUUUGGUAGUCUGCAAGUGCAUGACACGUGUAUUGCAUGAUGUUUAAAAUAUCGUAAUGUGAAACCCACCCUGUUGCUAUUAUAGAACGUCACGGUCUCCGGUUCUCUCGUUCGGUCAUUCCCGAUGGCGACAGUCGGGUGCAUAGUGCUCAGAAUACAGACGUUCUUUCUUGGGUUACUUCUGUAAACCGUAAGGGUUGCUUUGUCAUGCUUUAGCACGGUAGUGGAGUAUAGCUUUGUCUGUGCCUGAUUACGCAUCACGGGAGGCAGCUCUCGUCCGCAAUGACUCACUGCCCCGACCAAGUUGGUUUUGUUGGCAAUCAACGUAUUUGCUAAUGGCAGGGAUGUGCAGAACUUGUCCGUAGUGACCGUUCUCCCCGCACCGAGGUCACGUCCCGACUCUUCUCCUGCAGGAAGACUCGUCUGAAUUCAAUACCACCAGAGGGGACUUUAUACACCAUACCCAGACCCACUUCAGUUUAGAUAUUAUAAUUGGACUACUGCCCCCACAAUUGAUUGCCCCGCCCACGUCUUCAUUCACAUUAAAGAUGGAUAAUUAGUAAUGGAUUGUUCAUAUUGUUAAUGUCUCUCACCUAUAGCCAUCAGACAGUGGCCAGCACCCCUCAAUGUGAUAUUAUUAGGUGUGGGGAGAAAGGCCGAUACUAAUGCUAGAAAAUGGUCAUUGUCACUAUACUUGUCACACCCUGGCCAUAGAGAGGCUUUUAUUCUCUAUUUUGGGUAGGCCAGGGUGUGACUAGGGUGGGCAUUCUAGUUUCUUUAUUUCUAUGUUUUCUAUAUCUAUGUUUUGCCAGGCUAUGGUUCUCAAUCAGGGACAGCUGUCUAUCGUUGUCUCUGAUUGGGAAUCAUACUUAGGCAGCCUUUUUUCCUUUGUAUUUUGUGGGUAGUUAUCUUUGUUAGUGGCACUAUAGCCCUAGUAGCC
ensembl:lncRNA